rnacentral:rRNA from 1 species
AUUGAACACUGGCGGCAGGCCUAACACAUGCAAGUCGAGCGGAGCGGCGGACGGGGGAGUAAUGACUAGGACUCUGCCUGGUAGUGGGGGAUAACGUCCGGAAACGGGAGCUAAUACCGCAUACUAUCAGAUGAGCCUAGGACGGAUUAGGUAGUUGGUGGGGUAACGGCCUACCAAGGCGCCGAUCCGUAGCUGGUCUGAGAGGAUGAUCAGUCACACUGGAACUGAGACACGGUCCAGACUCCGACGGGAGGCAGCAGUGGUGAAUAUUGCACAAUGGGCGCAAGCCUGAUGCAGCCAUGCCGCGUGUGUGAAGAAGGCCUUCGGGUUGUAAAGCACUUUCAGCGGGGAGGCGUUACCCGCAGAAGAAGCACCGGCUAACUCCGUGCCAGCAGCCGCGGUAAUUC